GACGAACGCUGGCGGCGUGCCUAAUACAUGCAAGUCGACAACAGCGGCGGACGGGUGAGUAACGCGUGAGUAACUGCCCCCCUCUCUGGGAUAACAGUUGGAAACGGCUGCUAAUACCGGAUAGUGGGGGAUGACUCGCGUCCUAUCAGCUUGUUGGUGGGGUAGUGGCCUACCAAGGCGACGACGGGUAGCCGGCCUGAGAGGGCGACCGGCCACAUUGGGCUGAGAUACGGCCCAAACGCCUACGGGAGGCAGCAGUGGGGAAUAUUGCGCAAUGGGGGAAACCCUGAUGCAGCAACGCCGCGUGCGGGAUGACGGCCUUCGGGUUGUAAACCGCUUUCAGCCAUGACGCGGUAGUGGCAGAAGAAGCACCGGCUAACUACGUGCCAGCAGCCGCGGUAAUAC
rnacentral:rRNA from 1 species